AAUAUAAUAGUACCUAACACCUAAAUAUAAAUGUGCACCUAAAAAAAACCAUCAUAUCCGCCGUUUUACAAAAGGACACCCUCCCUCAUUGGUCUUCUCAAAAAAGAAGCAGCCAUUUCCAUAGAUUUUGGGUGAACAAAAAAACAACGCCUCCCAUCUUCUUCUUUAGCCUUUCAACCAAAAACACCUCUCACCAAUGACCCCAUCACCACCUUAGAAUGACCAUCCUCCAAAAUACCUUCAAAACACCAAGCGACUCAGCUCUACAACACAACAAAAUCAGCCCCAUUUAGCCCCAAAAACCAGCUGCUUUCCUCCACUUAAAAUGACCCCGACACACUGCUGAAAUAAUAGCUAGACUCCAGCAAAACAUCAGCCAGCACCCCCAUAAAAACAAUCCUAAAACAACCAUGAAGCUCACCCUUAAACUACUGUGAAAAUCAGCUUAAAAAUAGUUGUGUCGCAGUUGAAAAACAGCCGCCAAAGUAGCUUCCAAUUACCUGAAGAAACACAGCCGUAAACUCUCCAAAACGCCGUUAAACGCUUCCAUGUGAACUUGAAUGAAACUAGCUCUUCUUCCUUUGAAACUAUUCCUCAAUGGCUGUCCAAAAAUGCAGCAAAGCAGGCACCAAAAAUAAGCUCACAGAAAGUACUGUUCUAGCUGAAAAAUAACUGCUUCGUGGGGUUCCCGUCCAUGGUCAUCGAGUUCCAGUCGAAGCGUUGUUUUCGACUUUGCUAUUAUGCCGACUCCAUCUUGUUGUAAACAACUUUGCUGUAAAACUUGAAAGUGGAUAAGCUCAAAUAAAGGUCCUAUCUUUGCCACAACUUCCUAAUUUUGCAAAUAGGUUGAUCAGUUGUUGCUCUUUUGCCCUAGUUUGUAAUCUCAGUAGUAGUAGUCUUUUAUUUCAUGCCAUGACAUGGUUUGUUUUGCACAUUUAUGCUCCGGUUUAUUAUUUACAAUUUAAUUUGUCGUAUACUGAUUUGUCAUAUCCCCUAGUUAGCGUUCAUACAUUAGAAUAGUGUUUGAUUAAAGAAGUUGUUACUUGAAUUCAUUGGAAGCCAUAGAUCGUGCUAGAAUUUUGCAAAUUUUUGGGCUAAUGCGCGUAAUAUUAUUGCAAAUUUUAUUCUAAAAUGUAUCUCGAGGGAGCAUUCAC
rnacentral:lncRNA from 1 species